UGGAAGUAAGCGGAUUCGAACCGCUGACAUUUGCCGUGCAAGGACAACACUCUACCAACUGAGUUAUACUCCC
rnacentral:tRNA from 1 species